rnacentral:misc_RNA from 1 species
UUUCCGUAGGUGAACCUGCGGAAGGAUCAUUCAUAAUAGGUGUUUUAUGGCACUUUUUUAAAUCCAUAUCCACCUUGUGUGCAAUGUCAGGGUUGAUUUUUCUCUCGAGAGGAUCAACCCCAAACAUCAACUAUACCUCAACUCUUUGUCUGAAAAAUAUUAUGAAUAAAACAAUUCAAAAUACAACUUUCAACAACGGAUCUCUUGGCUCUC